rnacentral:lncRNA from 1 species
AUAAAAGGCUUCCAAUGAAAAUGACUGACUACUAGCCUGUUCGUUAAUAAGAGGAAGUUCAUGAAGAAAGGAUGGUCGUUUCUAAAGCACAAGUACUGGAGGCGAUCAGAGGAGCAGAGCAUCGGAUCAUUCAGACACUGACACAGCUAGACACCUUCAACCAUCGAUUCAAGUCAAUAUUACACGAUGGUAGUAAACAACAGAAUGCAGGACAAGGAGUUCAGGACAUGGAGACAUACUAGUUUCAUCUGAAAGAGGCUGAAGUUACCAUUCGCGUGGAUGACAAACACAAGACCUACUUGAAUGAUGUUGACCUUUUUCGUCUAAACGCCGAUAUCGACAAAGUACGCCUAAGCGUUGCUCCCGUAUCACGCCUACUUUACCCCAUUUUCGAUGACAAGGCACAUCCACCUGAACCUGACACUGUCCCCUACCUGCAGGGUGGAAAAAUGCCCACCUACCUCUUAGCCGCACGAAAGCCAUUGUUCAAGCUUUCAAAUACCGCAACCUUAUUGCGAGUCUGUGUCUGGACAUCUGAUCGGGUUCAUGUAAACUCCUCGUAAACACACUGGCACAAGCUUGACUUGAUAUA